rnacentral:rRNA from 1 species
AUUGAACGCUGGCGGCAUGCUUUACACAUGCAAGUCGAACGGCAGCACGGGUGCUUGCACCUGGUGGCGAGUGGCGGACGGGUGAGUAAUGCAUCGGAACGUGUCCUAAAGUGGGGGAUAACGCAUCGAAAGAUGUGCUAAUACCGCAUAAUCUCUGAGGAGAAAAGUAGGGGAUCGAAAGACCUUAUGCUUUUGGAGCGGCUGAUGUCUGAUUAGCUAGUUGGUAAGGUAAUGGCUUACCAAGGCGACGAUCAGUAGUUGGUCUGAGAGGACGACCAGCCACACUGGGACUGAGACACGGCCCAGACUCCUACGGGAGGCAGCAGUGGGGAAUUUUGGACAAUGGGCGCAAGCCUGAUCCAGCAAUGCCGCGUGAGUGAAGAAGGCCUUCGGGUUGUUAAAGGAC